CUUCGAGUCGGAUGUAGUAUUUCCAGCGUUAGUAACCGAGUAAUGAUACUUUUAAAAUUGUUUUUUUACAUUUCCUCCAGAGACAAAAAUAACUUCCUAAAACAUCUCCCUCUUCAGGAAGGCCCACAGGUUUUCUGUUGGGUUCAAAUCAGGUGAGCAAGGGGGCCAAGUCAUCAUUCUGCUGUCUUUGAACCCUUUGCUGACCAGACAAUCUCUGGUGCACUUCCAUGCAUGAGAUGAAGCAUCGUCUUGCAUCAGUAUCAUGGACUUUUUGAAUGAUGCUGGCUUCUUCUGGUACCACUGCUUGAGGAAGGUCUCCUCCAGGAACUUGCAGUAGUUUCUGGAGUUCAUUUUCAAGCCGUCUUCCACCCGAAAUGGUCCAACCAAUUCACUGCUGAUAAUUCCAGCCCAUGUCAUUAUCCCCCCGCCCCCCUUGGUGUGCAAUGGCGGUCAGUAACCCAGCCUUGGCCCCUCCCAUCAGGGUCACUCUCAUCUCAUCCGUCCACAAAGCCUUUGAAAAAUCCCUCUUCAAAUAUUUCUUUGCCCAUUCUUGAUGCUUUCGCUUAUGAUUUUUAUUUAAAGGAGGCUGUUUUUCUGCAUUUCUCACCCUGCCAAUCAUGCAAAGCACUUUGCAGCUUGUGCUUCUGCAGAGUAAUGGAAGUUUGCAGUUCUGAAAGAUGGUAGCACUUCAUGCAAAAGGGUUCCUGUAUACUUCCUGUUUGAUUCUUCUCAAGUCUAGUAAUUUCUUCUCGAAGCGCUUUUUGCAUCUCUCUGGUCUCAUGCUCAGAAAUCUUUUGGAAGUUUGCAGUUCUGAAAGAUGGUAACACUUCAUGCAAAAGGGUUCCUGCAUACUUCCUGUUUGAUUCUUCUCAAGUCUAGUAAUUUCUUCUCAACGCGCUUUUUGCAUCUCUCUGGUCUCAUGCUCAGAAAUCUUUUGACACUGCGGUGACCACAACUCAACACCUUUGCAGUUUCAAUAGUUUUGUAGCCCUCUGAAAGAAAGCCAGUCAACUAUUUGUCUCUUUUCAUCUUCUGUUAGGUCUCCUUUAUGCCUUUUUUCAGUCAUUAACCUUGAAACUGCUUUUCCUGCACAGGAUCUUAGAAAUCCUAACCCAAGAAGCACAGGGAAGAGAAACUGUGCACCUACAGGAUGUCAGUUCAUCAUGUGGCAUGCACACACUCUAUGGGCAAUUUAGACGUGUCGUUUAGGAAAUUAGGAAGCACAGGGAACUGAAACUGUGCGCUGUACAGGAUGUCAAAAGGAGGGGGGGGUGAUGUAUAUCUUGACAUUGCAAUACUGCACAUAGUAUUGCACAUGCAAUACUCACAUAGUGAAAGGAAGCAAUGUAACAAAGAUUUUAAAAUCAUUUAAAAAUAAUAAAGAUUUCAUCAUUUAAAAUAAGGCUGUUUCACAACUACACCAUAACUAAAAAAUAACUUGCAUAUAAUAUGAGUUUGUCUUGGUACAUGACUACAGUCUUUGUUAGGUAUAUGUUUCAUCCUCGUGUGCUGCAUCCUCAGCGAGUUGGCUUCAGUAAUGUGUGGAUUCAUUAUAACCGAUAACGAAUGUGUCCUUAUUCAUUUUUCUUGCUGGGGAGACGAGGGGGUGUCUGCCGAUGCUGGGGGGCACGUCCUCCCUAUUUCCAGUGCCCCUGCGUGACAUUGCACACUCACUCUGGACAAGACUUAGCUUUUAGAAAUAGUGCCUUUUAAUAUUGAGACACUGAAGUAGCUAAUUCCGCCCUUCCAUUAGGCGAUACUUAUAUAGAUCUGUUCAGUGAUCUGACAUGUAGCACAUGUGCAUAGCUUUAAGUAUGUGGGUAGUUUGAAGAACAUACCCCAGGAUUAUAAUUAGAUAUCAACAGAUAAUUGGUUACAUUGCAUUCCUUAUAGCUGUUGCACGUACAGUAAGUGUUGCUCAGUUGCUGAGUCAGUGUGUAAUUGGAUUCUUUUGGCUGAUGCGAGGAAUGUGCUUGGUCUUAGAAAAUGCAGCUGAGUGCGUUUGACAUCUGUAACCAUGAUCCAUUCUUGUAAUGCAGAAUGAUUUGAUUACAUUAAAUGUAGCUACUUUCUCUCCA